GAGUUUGAUCAUGGCUCAGAACAAACGCUGGCGGCGUGCCUAACACAUGCAAGUCGUACGAGAAAGUUCGCUUCGGCGAAUGAGUAAAGUGGCGCACGGGUGAGUAACGCGUGGAUAAUCUGCCCUUUGGUUGGGAAUAACUCAUCGAAAGGUGGGCUAAUACCCGAUAAUACUGCUUUCACUACGGUGUAGUAGUCAAAGAUAGCCUCUGUUUACAAGCUUUCGCUGAAGGAUGAGUCCGCGUACCAUUAGCUAGUUGGUAGGGUAAUGGCCUACCAAGGCGACGAUGGUUAGCUGGUCUGAGAGGAUGAUCAGCCACACUGGAACUGAGAUACGGUCCAGACUCCUACGGGAGGCAGCAGUGAGGAAUCUUGCGCAAUGGGGGAAACCCUGACGCAGCAACGCCGCGUGAGUGAGGAAGGUUUUCGGAUCGUAAAGCUCUGUCAGGUGGGAAGAAAUGUAUGAGGGUAAAUAGCCUUUAUACUUGACGGUACCACCAGAGGAAGCACCGGCUAACUCCGUGCCAGCAGCCGCGGUAAUACGGGGGGUGCAAGCGUUGUUCGGAAUUAUUGGGCGUAAAGAGCGUGUAGGCGGCUUGAUAAGUCAGAUGUGAAAGCCCUGGGCUUAACCCAGGAAGUGCAUUUGAAACUGUCUUGCU
rnacentral:rRNA from 1 species